GGAAGGCGGCAGAAAACCCUAGCUCCCUCGUCCGUUCCUCCCCAAACACCAAAACCCUCUCGCUAUAUCUCCGUGUAUAAGUAGGUGGCGAGUCGAUAGAAGUAUCAGCAGCACUAAUAUUUUCGUGGGGAUCGUUGGGUUGGGGUAGGGCUAGUCUUCUGGUUCUAUGAUUCAGUUCUAUCUUUCCUUUUCUCCUUUUUCUGUAUUUGUAGGUAAAUCGAAAGCCUGUUGGAGCAUGUGAAUUUUCCUCCAUCCAUAUUGUUUGUGAUUUUAUUUUCUGCGUUUGGGCCUAUGAUUAAAUUUCAUCAAAACAUUGACAAGCAUAUGUCUGAAUUUAUGCUGUGUUGACAGAUCUAAUCUUCUCAAUGAGGCCCUCUACGUUUCUUCUGUUCUGUUUUUAUUUUGGGGUUUUCUUUUCGAGUAUGUGCUCUCUCUGUUCAUUUCAAGCAAAACUUUGGUUGACAUGAUGAUUAUUUUUCAUUUAUUAUCGUGAUUUUUUAAAAAAAUUCCGUUUGGAGUUUCCUUUUGUUUUCCCCAAAUGCUUUCUUUUUCUUUUUAAGAUGAACGUAAUAGAAGAAUGCCAAUGAUGAUUUACAGUGAUGAUGUUAUGUAUGAGAAAUCAGGGAUUACAACACCACUCUACUGCCUUCCUUCUGAGGCAAUACUACUUUAUUCUUACUCUAUUCCCUUUUUUUUCAUCUCUUUUUUGUUUUGUUUUUAAAAUUUUCACUUUAGCCGCGUUUAAGUUUGAUUCUUCAUUAACCAGAAGGUAUAACACAGGGCUACUUUUUCAAACUUGUUUUAGACGAGGAAUUAAUCGAGUCAUGGGAGAUUGUGAAGUCAGGUGAUGAUCAGAAGCAUAGUUCAAAUGAUAAAUCAUUUUUUAACGUGAUUAUAAAAUUUCUAAAGUCUUUCGCUCCUAUCUGAUGGCACUUCUGACUCCCAUGAAAUUAUUUCAUUUAGCUCUUUAAUUUUUUUUUUCUUUUUUCUUUUCCUUCAUUAAUGGUUAAUCAAAAAGUAUCGUCGCUGUUUGUAGUAUUUCUUUUUUUCUGGAAUAUUGCAGAAGAUUUUUUUUUUUUGAGGGAAAGAGUUACAGAAGAUUCAACUUUUUCCCUCUUUUGGGGACAGUGAUGAAUAAAUCAUAUUGGUCUCGUUCGGCGUAAUGGUGUUCAAUGCGAAUACCUUGCCGACCAUCCUGAUAUAUCACCACCCAUAAACUGAGUCCCCCUACUCACAAAUUUGUAUUUUUGUUUUCUGAGUUCUUUUAACAUUUUAAACCUUGAAAGCUCCUGAAUUUGUCUGCAAUACAAUGUUGCUGUCCGAGUCUAAUGCCCCCGAAUCGUGCAACUUUAAAGAGAAAUUGUACAGAAUGCUAAAAUUUGUUUAUCAGAUAAUUUAGUGGCAGUUCAGCAACAUGAAUGGAUGAGCUUGGUAUCAGAUAAUGGAAGUAUGCAAACGAAGAUGAUACGGAACAAUAGAUGCUGCAUAUGCUGUGUGAGGACAGACAUCAGGUUGGAAAAACGAAGUAGAUGAAAACCAUGGCAGAAACACAAGUAAAAGAACCCAAAAAAAAAAAAAGAGCGCUUCUCUCUCUCCUGGUUCUAAGGCCAUUAGAAAAGAGAACAAUCAAACCAAGAAAAAGGCCGAUGAUAUGGCAUAAUUUGGAUUAUUAGAUUUUUGAAGAUGGAAUCUACUUAAGUUUUGGCCAAGAAGGCUCACAAUUGGGCGAAAAAAAAUGCAAUCUCUGCUUAUCCGACCCAAUACGAGCAACACGACAGCCUUAAUUGGUGUGCCAAGAAGUCUGCUAAUUCAUUUGCCAGCCCAUGCGAGAAAUUCUCCUAGUUAGAACCUUAACCAAAUUUCAACAAGGGCACCUCGCCAAAGGCGAAAUGCGUGCGCUGAUGAGAUUGCACUGUGCUGUAAAUUUACCUCAAAUGAACACCCAAGGCGGUAAUAAAAUCCUUAACAAGUUUUUUAUUUUUUAUUUUUUGGGUGCGUGUUUGUACCAGAAUGGGAUAAAACAAAAAACCGAAUUUCAAGUGAUUGUAAAAGCUUUUUUACCGGAGGAAAAAUUUGACGUGAUUAGCAUGUUUCAAAAUUUUUUUAAAAAAAAUGAAGGCAGAGAACUUUCAGUCAA